rnacentral:rRNA from 1 species
GGUUGAUCCUGCCAGUAGUCAUAUGCUUGUCUCAAAGAUUAAGCCAUGCAUGUCUAAGUAUAAACAUCUUUAUACAGUGAAACUGCGUACAGCUCAUUAUAUCAGUUAUAAUUUCUUUGAUGAUACCUUACUACAUGGAUACCCGUAGUAAUUCUAGAGCUAAUACAUGCGUUCAAUCUCGACUCGUGAGGGAAGAGAUGUAUUUAUUAGAUACAAAACCAAUUCGAACUUUGUUCGAUUUCUUGGUGAUUCAUAGUAACUGUUCGAAUCGCAUGGCUUUAUGCUGGCGAUA